rnacentral:rRNA from 1 species
AUUGAGCGUGAUAAGGGCGUUCGGUGGAUGCCUUGGCGCCAAGAGGCGAUGAAGGACGUGGCACGCUGCGAAAAGCCGCGGGGAGAUGCGAGCGAUCGUUGAUCCGCGGAUGUCCGAAUGGGGAAACCCACCCUUUCGAGGGUAUCGGGGCCUGAAUACAUAGGGCUUCGAGGCAAACCCGGGGAACUGAAACAUCUCAGUACCUGGAGGAACAGACAUCAACCGAGAUUCCGCGAGUAGUGGCGAGCGAAAGCGGAUUAGGCCAGUGGUCUUGUUGAGUUAAGCCGAGCAGUCUGGAAAGGCUGGCCAUAGUGGGUGAUAGCCCCGUAGGCGUAUGGCUCCUCAAGAUCCUUGAGUAAGGCGAGGCACGUGAAACCUUGUCUGAACAUGGGGGGACCACCCUCCAAGCCUAAAUACUCCUUGGCGACCGAUAGUGCACAAGUACCGUGAGGGAAAGGUGAAAAGCACCCCGACGAGGGGAGUGAAAGAGACCUGAAACCGAGCGCCUACAAGCAGUCGGAGCCCUUACCGUAAGGUGGGUGACGGCGUACCUUUUGUAUAAUGGGUCCGCGAGUUUCUGUUAGCAGCAAGCUUAAGCCGUGAGGUGUAGGCGCAGCGAAAGCGAGUCCGAAUAGGGCGCCUAGUUGCUGGCAGAAGACCCGAAACCGAGUGAUCUAGCCAUGGCCAGGCUGAAGGUGCGGUAACACGCACUGGAGGGCCGAACCCACGCCUGUUGAAAAAGUCGGGGAUGAGCUGUGGCUAGGGGUGAAAGGC